rnacentral:rRNA from 1 species
AGAAUCAACGCUGGCGGCGUGCCUAACACAUGCAAGUCGCACGAGAAAGGGGCUUCGGCUCUGAGUAAAGUGGCGCACGGGUGAGUAACACGUGAAUAAUCUACCUCCGAGUGGGGAAUAACUGAGAGAAAUCUUAGCUAAUACCGCAUAACACUUACGAGUCAAAGCAGCAAUGCGCUUGGAGAGGAGUUCGCGGCCGAUUAGUUAGUUGGCGGGGUAAUGGCCCACCAAGACGAUGAUCGGUAUCCGGCCUGAGAGGGCGCACGGACACACUGGAACUGAAACACGGUCCAGACUCCUACGGGAGGCAGCAGUGGGGAAUUUUGCGCAAUGGGGGAAACCCUGACGCAGCAACGCCGCGUGGAGGAUGAAAUAUCUUGGUAUGUAAACUCCUUUCGAUGGGGAAGAUUAUGACGGUACCCAUAGAAGAAGCCCCGGCUAACUUCGCGCCAGCAGCCGC